GAAUAUUGGACAAUGGGGGGAACCCUGAUCCAGCCAUGCCGCGUGUGUGAAGAAGGCCUUUUGGUUGUAAAGCACUUUAAGCGAGGCGGAGGCUACUCUAGGUAAUACCUAGAGAUAGUGGACGUUACUCGCAGAAUACGCACCGGCUAACUACGUGCCAGGAGCCGCGGUAAUCAAGAGGGUGCAAGCGUUAAUCGGAUUUACUGGGCGUAAAGCGCGCGUAGGUGGCCAAUUAAGUCAAAUGUGAAAGCCCCGAGCUUAACUUGGGAAUUGCAUUCGAUACUGGUUGGCUAGAGUAUGGGAGAGGAUGGUAGAAUUCCAGGUGUAGCGGUGAAAUGCGUAGAGAUCUGGAGGAAUACCGAUGGCGAAGGCAGCCAUCUGGCCUAAUACUGACACUGAGGUGCGAAAGCAUGGGGAGCAAAC
rnacentral:rRNA from 1 species